UACGUAGGCAGCAAGCGUUGUUCGGAGUUACUGGGCGUAAAGGGUGCGUAGGCGGCUAUUUAAGUUUGGUGUGAAAUCUCCCGGCUCAACCGGGAGGGUGCGCCGAAUACUGAGUGGCUAGAGUUCGGCAGGGGAGACUGGAAUUCCUGGUGUAGCGGUGAAAUGCGCAGAUAUCAGGAGGAACACCGGUGGCGAAGGCGGGUCUCUGGGCCGAUACUGACGCUGAGGAGCGAAAGUGUGGGGAGCGAACAGG
rnacentral:rRNA from 1 species